AACGAACGCUGGCGGCAUGCCUAACACAUGCAAGUCGAACGAGACCGUCGGGUCUAGUGGCGCACGGGGGCGUAACGCGGGGGAACCUGCCCGUAGGUUCGGAAUAACUGCCCGAAGGGGGUGCUAAUACCGGAUAAUGUCUUCGGACCAAAGAGUUAUCGCCUUUGGAUGGGCCCGCGUUGGAUUAGCUAGUUGGUAGGGUAAAAGCCUACCAAGGCGACGAUCCAUAGCUGGUCUGAGAGGAUGAUCCGCCACACUGGGACUGAGACACGGCCCAGACUCCUACGGGAGGCAGCAGUGGGGAAUAUUGGACAAUGGGCGAAAGCCUGAUCCAGCCAUGCCGCGUGAGUGAUGAAGGCCUUAGGGUUGUAAAGCUCUUUUACCCGGGAUGAUAAUGACAGUACCGGGAGAAUAAGCUCCGGCUAACUCCGUG
rnacentral:rRNA from 1 species